rfam:Picea glauca, whole genome shotgun sequence.
GUAAAGGUGUCUUUAGACACCAUAUAUUUUCUUUGAAUGUUAUUC